rnacentral:rRNA from 1 species
AGCGAACGCUGGCGGCAGGCUUAACACAUGCAAGUCGAGCGGGCACUUUCGGGUGUCAGCGGCGGACGGGUGAGUAACGCGUGGGAACGUGCCCUCUGGUUCGGAAUAACUCAGGGAAACUUGAGCUAAUACCGGAUACGCCCUUUUGGGGAAAGGCUUGCUGCCGGAGGAUCGGCCCGCGUCUGAUUAGCUAGUUGGUGAGGUAACGGCUCACCAAGGCGACGAUCAGUAGCUGGUCUGAGAGGAUGAUCAGCCACACUGGGACUGAGACACGGCCCAGACUCCUACGGGAGGCAGCAGUGGGGAAUAUUGGACAAUGGGAGCAAGCCUGAUCCAGCCAUGCCGCGUGAGUGAUCAAGGCCUUAGGGUUGUAAAGCUCUUUUAUCCGGGACGAUAAUGACGGUACCGGAGGAAUAAGCCCCGGCUAACUUCGUG